rnacentral:rRNA from 1 species
UAAUGGGUCAGCGACUUAUAUUCUGUAGCAAGGUUAACCGAAUAGGGGAGCCGAAGGGAAACCGAGUCUUAACUGGGCGUUAAGUUGCAGGGUAUAGACCCGAAACCCGGUGAUCUAGCCAUGGGCAGGUUGAAGGUUGGGUAACACUAACUGGAGGACCGAACCGACUAAUGUUGAAAAAUUAGCGGAUGACUUGUGGCUGGGGGUGAAAGGCCAAUCAAACCGGGAGAUAGCUGGUUCUCCCCGAAAGCUAUUUAGGUAGCGCCUCGUGAAUUCAUCUCCGGGGGUAGAGCACUGUUUCGGCAAGGGGGUCAUCCCGACUUACCAACCCGAUGCAAACUGCGAAUACCGGAGAAUGUUAUCACGGGAGACACACGGCGGGUGCUAACGUCCGUCGUGAAGAGGGAAACAACCCAGACCGCCAGCUAAGGUCCCAAAGUCAUGGUUAAGUGGGAAACGAUGUGGGAAGGCCCAGACAGCCAGGAUGUUGGCUUAGAAGCAGCCAUCAUUUAAAGAAAGCGUAAUAGCUCACUG